rnacentral:SRP_RNA from 2 species
AAGUCUAUACUUGUGACCCAAGUGGGAGCAUUAAUGUGAUGGAACAUGGCUACAGCUUGUUGGGCUGGUCAGUUAGCUUCAAUAUGCUGGUCUGCCCGCUCCAAGUUGAGAGUUGUGCCACGGGACAUGGGCGAAGGCCGAUGUCUAUUGGUUCCUAGAUGAGAGGGCAAUGUGUGAGGCUGGUUUCACAAAGCAGCGAAUACCUCUAGCUCCUGACAGUGGAGUGAUUACAGGCUGCUGCACUUUCUGUCCAUUAAGCCCGGUGAGCCUAGCCUCUGAACCGAGUUU